rnacentral:rRNA from 1 species
UGGGGAAUAUUGCACAAUGGGCGCAAGCCUGAUGCAGCCAUGCCGCGUGUGUGAAGAAGGCCUUCGGGUUGUAAAGCACUUUCAGCGAGGAGGAAGGCAUUAAGGUUAAUAACCUUAGUGAUUGACGUUACUCGCAGAAGAAGCACCGGCUAACUCCGUGCCAGCAGCCGCGGUAAUACGGAGGGUGCAAGCGUUAAUCGGAAUUACUGGGCGUAAAGCGCACGCAGGCGGUUUGUUAAGUCAGAUGUGAAAUCCCCGAGCUUAACUUGGGAGCUGCAUUUGAAACUGGCAAGCUAGAGUCUUGUAGAGGGGGGUAGAAUUC